rnacentral:tRNA from 1 species
GUGUAUAGCUCAGUGGUAGAGCGCUCCCCUAGCAUGGGAGAGGGCUGGGGUUCAAUUCCCCAUACCUCCA